CAGAGGAUUAUGUAAAACACUUACUCUGGCCAGAAUGACUCUAUGAGAUUCUGUGGAGACUCUGACCCACCCCACCCAACCCAUGCCACUCGCAGAGGCCUGCAAGGCAGUAGCACAUGAGGUUAACACUGAAAUGGAUGGAAAAGCGCUGGUGCAUUUACUUCCAGCUUCUGCAGUAUCUUGCACAGUAGGAAGUUUUAAUUUUCGUCCAGUGUAGAUGUGCGUCACUGGCACGCAGUGUGAAGAUGGGCAGCUUGGAAGAGUGGAGCAUAAAGCACAGAGGUGUGUUUGCAGCCUCACAGACUGUCUGCUUCCUGCAAAUAUGGCUUUCCCGUGCGAUCCUCCUUCAGCCUGGUCUCCGAUGCUCCCUCGCCACGACCAAACCAGGCCCAGGUGCUCCUACCACCAGCCAUGCCCCCAGCUCCUUUGGAAGGAAUCAAGAGAUAAUGGGUCAUGCACCUCGAUUUGUACCACUCGCUCAGGAGAACUCUGCUUCUGCAGAUUUUUAUUUAAAAAUAAAAAGAUUUGCAGCUGCAGCCAUUUUCUUUGUAUGUUGUCUUGUCUUUGACCUGAAAUGCUUCCAGAAAACCUCCCUAUUUUGUGCUUCAUAAUUCCAGAAUUUUCCUAGUGUUUCCAGGAUGGAGUUUACGGUUGUGUUUAUUGCUUUAGUGUGAUUUCUUAAAGGUGAAAGGGGAAAUGCUGACUUUUCCUCCUGCCUCUACAUUCACACUUUCUACGUAAUUUUGCACUAAGUAUCUCUGGUUUAUCACUAGAUUAAAGCUUGUUCAACAAAAAUUAUCUACGUAUGAGAUGAAUAUUGUUUCUUCUCUUAUAG
rnacentral:lncRNA from 1 species